GGUAGUGUGGCCGAGCGGUCUAAGGCGCUGGAUUUAGGCUCCAGUCUCUUCGGAGGCGUGGGUUCAAAUCCCACCUCUGCCA
rnacentral:tRNA from 1 species